AUCGCUGCUAAUCUAUCGCUGCCAACCUACCUACCGCUGCUAAUCUAUCACUACUGCCAACCUAUAUAGGGUAAAUCAUGGUCCCAUUUGGUCCCAUUUUGUAAAAAUGGGACCAAAUGGGACUAGGAUCACUAAUUUAUUAGUAGAACAUGAUCUGGGACUAGAUUUAUAAUAUAAACAGUGUAAAGUGACUAAUUUACUAAACACUAUAUGGGACCAGGACUAAGAUAUCUAAUAAUGGGACCAAAGGAAAAUCUGGUCCCAGUCCCAUGCAUGGUCACACGGCCAGUCUAACCAUUCAUCAUGAAGAAGAAGAUGAGGAAGAGUAGGAUUAAAUCCAUUUUUGAUUGCUCCAGUAUAGAUUUGAUUGAUUUGUUGAAUAGAAAGAGAAGUGAUUUCACUGAUUUCAACAGUGGAUUUGUCAAUGUAAGAGGAUUUAAGAGCAACCACAAGAGCUCUUGUGGCAAUAUCAGUAUUAGGAGCCAUGAUCUUGAGAAAGAAGA
rnacentral:sRNA from 2 species